UUUUUUUGUAAGUUUGCAUGUUUCCUGGUACAGCAUACCUCUCAACCUUCGAAGAAAUGCUUUGAAAUGUGAGAAAAUAUUGCUGUCGCACUGCUGCAAGACUUAAUGUGCUACUUUUACGAGUACAGGUUCUCGAGUAUUGUACAUGUUGUUACUGUAACUGUUUCCGCUUCGGUUUUUUUGGCAGUUACAUUUCAUUAAAUGUAUGCUGUACAACUUCUCGUGUUGCUGUACUUUGCUCUUGGUAUUUUCUUUUUCACACCUCUGACAUUUUUCUCUGAACUUCACGUAGGUGGAGAAUGGGUGCUUUGACAGACCACCUUCCAAGCUGGAUCGUCUAGCAAAGGAACUAGGACAACACAGCCAUCUAACCAAACAAUUCCUGCAGCUCUUGUGAAUUCAUAUGGAUAUGGACCUAAACUGCAUCCAGUUGGGGUGGAAAUAUUUUUAACAUAUGAAAGAAACAUCGGCAAGUGCCUCGGAGAUGCGUACUGCAGCGAAAUGUAAGAGGAUAUGGACCUAAACUGCAUCCAGUUGGGGUGGAAAUAUUUUUAACAUAUGAGAGAAAUGUCAGGAA